CAAAAAGACAAAGCUCAAUGGCAGGACGAUAUACAGAAACAUCCUCCUUAUGAAGACAUUGUGUUGCCUGCAUUUAUUUAAAUGACGAGCUGAGUCAGACUACUGACAACUGACUCAUUCCCCUACAUUCUCACACCACACUGGUCAUUCCCCUACAUUCUCACACAGGUCAUUCUCCUACAUUCUCACAUUGGUCAUUCCCCUACAUUCUCACACCACACUGGUCAUUCCCCUACAUUCUCACACCACACUGGUCAUUCCCCUACAUUCUCACACAGGUCAUUCUCCUACAUUCUCACAUUGGUCAUUCCCCUACAUUCUCACACCACACUGGUCAUUCCCCUACAUUCUCACACCACACUGGUCAUUCCCCUACAUUCUCACACCACACAGGUCAUUCCCCUACAUUCUCACACCACACUGGUCAUUCCCCUACAUUCUCACACCACACUGGUCAUUCCCCUACAUUCUCACACCACACAGGUCAUUCCCCUACAUUCUCACACCACACUGGUCAUUCCCCUACAUUCUCACACCACACUGGUCAUUCCCCUACAUUCUCACACCACACAGGUCAUUCCCCUACAUUCUCACACCACACUGGUCAUUCCCCUACAUUCUCACACCACACAGGUCAUUCCCCUACA